AUUGAACGCUGGCGGCAGGCCUAACACAUGCAAGUCGAGCGGAUGAAGGGAGCUUGCUCCUGGAUUCAGCGGCGGACGGGUGAGUAAUGCCUAGGAAUCUGCCUGGUAGUGGGGGAUAACGUCCGGAAACGGGCGCUAAUACCGCAUACGUCCUGAGGGAGAAAGUGGGGGAUCUUCGGACCUCACGCUAUCAGAUGAGCCUAGGUCGGAUUAGCUAGUUGGUGGGGUAAAGGCCUACCAAGGCGACGAUCCGUAACUGGUCUGAGAGGAUGAUCAGUCACACUGGAAAUGAGACACGGUGCAGACUCCUACGGGAGGCAGCAGUGGGGAAUAUUGGGCAAUGGGCGAAAGACUGAUCCCGCCAUGCCGCGUGUGUGAAGAAGGUCUUCGGAUUGUAAAGCACUUUAAGUUGGGAGGAAGGGCAGUAAGUUAAUACCUUGCUGUUUUGACGUUACCAACAGAAUAAGCACCGGCUAACUUCG
rnacentral:rRNA from 1 species